rnacentral:rRNA from 1 species
CCUACGGGUGGCUGCAGUGGGGAAUAUUGCACAAUGGGGGAAACCCUGAUGCAGCGACGCCGCGUGAAGGAAGACGUAUCUCGGUAUGUAAACUUCUAUCAGCAGGGAAGAAAAUGACGGUACCUGACUAAGAAGCUCCGGCUAACUACGUGCCAGCAGCCGCGGUAAUACGGAGGGGGCCAGCGUUAUACGGAUUUACUGGGUGUAAAGGGAGCGUAGGCGGUUUAGCAAGUCUGAAGUGAAAGGCCGGGGCUCAACCCCGGGACUGCGUUGGAAACUGGUGAACUAGAUUGCAGGAGAGGUAAGUGGAAUUCGUGGUGUAGCGGUGAAAUGCGUAGAUAUUAGGAGGAACACCGAUGGCGAAGGCGGCUUACGGGACUGUAAAUGACGCUGAGGCUCGAAGGCGUGGGUAGCAAACAGGAUUAGAUACCCGUGUAGUC